UACGUAGGAUGCAAGCGUUGUCCGGAAUUAUUGGGCGUAAAGAGCGCGCAGGCGGUAUGACAAGUCAGAUGUGAAAGAGGCCGGCUUAACCGGCAAGGGUCAUUUGAAACUGUCAGACUAGAGUGCAGCAGAGGAUAGUGGAAUUCCCGGUGUAGUGGUGAAAUGCGUAGAUAUCGGGAGGAACACCAGUGGCGAAGGCGACUAUCUGGGCUGCAACUGACGCUCAGACACGACAGCAUGGGGAGCGAACGGG
rnacentral:rRNA from 1 species